GGCUCGUUGGUAUAACGGUAUGAUUCUCGCUUUGGGUGCGAGAGGUCGCGGGUUCAAAUCCCGGACGAGCCC
rnacentral:tRNA from 1 species